rnacentral:rRNA from 1 species
AGCAGUCGCCACGGUAAAACGAAGGGUGCAGGCGUUACUCGGAAUUACUGGGCGUAAAGCGUGCGUAGGUGGUGGUUUAAGUCCGUUGUGAAAGCCCUGGGCUCAACCUGGGAAUUGCAGUGGAUACUGGGUCACUAGAGUGUGGUAGAGGAUAGUGGAAUUUCCGGUGUAGCAGUGAAAUGCGUAGAGAUCGGAAGGAACAUCUGUGGCGAAGGCGACUAUCUGGGCCAACACUGACACUGAGGCACGAAAGCGUGGGGAGCAAACAGGAUUAGAUACCCCCGUAGUCCCUGUCUCUUAUAC